rnacentral:rRNA from 1 species
AUUGAACGCUGGCGGCAGGCCUAACACAUGCAAGUCGAGCGGAUGAAGGGUGCUUGCUCCUGGAUUCAGCGGCGGACGGGUGGGUAAUGCCUAGGAAUCUGCCUGGUAGUUGUGGAUAACGUCCGGAAACGGGGGCUAAUACCCCAUACGCCCUGAGGGAGAAAGGGGGGGAGCUUCGGACCUCACGCUAUCAGAUGAGCCUAGGUCGGAUUAGCUAGUUGGUGGGGUAAAGGCCUACCAAGGCGACGAUCCGUAACUGGUCUGAGAGGAUGAUCAGUCACACUGGAACUGAGACACGGUCCAGACUCCUACGGGAGGCAGCAGUGGGGAAUAUUGGACAAUGGGCGAAAGCCUGAUCCAGCCAUGCCGCGUGUGUGAAGAAGGUCUUCGGAUUGUAAAGCCCUUUAAGUUGGGAGGAAGAGCAGUAGGUUAAUACCUUGCUGUUUUGACGUUACCAAAAGAAUAAGCACCGGCUAACUUCGUG